CCUACGGGGGGCAGCAGUAGGGAAUCUUCCACAAUGGGCGAAAGCCUGAUGGAGCAACGCCGCGUGGGUGAAGAAGGUCUUCGGAUCGUAAAACCCUGUUGUUAGAGAAGAAAGUGCGUGAGAGUAACUGUUCACGUUUCGACGGUAUCUAACCAGAAAGCCACGGCUAACUACGUGCCAGCAGCCGCGGUAAUACGUAGGUGGCAAGCGUUAUCCGGAUUUAUUGGGCGUAAAGGGAACGCAGGCGGUUUUUUAAGUCUGAUGUGAAAGCCUUCGGCUUAACCGGGGUAGUGCAUUGGAAACUGGGAGACUGGAGUGCAGAAGAGGAGAGUGGAACUCCAUGUGUAGCGGUGAAAUGCGUAGAUAUAUGGAAGAACACCAGUGGCGAAAGCGGCUCUCUGGUCUGUAACUGACGCUGAGGUUCGAAAGUGUGGGUAGCAAACAGGAUUAGAUACCCCGGUAGUC
rnacentral:rRNA from 1 species